rnacentral:lncRNA from 10 species
GAGGUGCCUUGUCUGAUGGGAGUGGAGAAGCGAUCAAAGGAUCAAGCUGUAUUUAGUAUAGCCUUUUAACCAACACCCCACAACCAGAGAGGUUCCUGGGGCCUCCAAUUCUAUGCCUACCAGGUGCUCCGGGGCCAGUCUGUUGUCUUCCUGCCUCCUCUCUGCAACCUGUGCCUGGUCUCUAAGUUACUCAUCAUUUACCACCUGCUUUCCGGUUUCCGACAUCGUGUUUACCUCUCUCUCUCCACACUUGCUCCUUUCUCUUUUAGCCUUGUCCUUGAGAUGGUUUGUUUAUUUGUUUUUUGCCUUUAACAAAAUCUCGAUACUGUAGUGAAUUUUGGGGGUGGGAAUAUAGGCAAAAGACAAUGUUCAGCCCACCAUUGUUAUGGUUUAAAUGUGUCCCUCAAGUUUCAUGUGUUGGAAACUUAAUCCUCAAUGCAGCAGUGUUGACAGGUGGGACCUUUAAGAGGUGAUGAGGUCAUCAGGACAGUCUUAAUGCCAUUAUCUUGGGAGUGGGUUAGUUACUGUGGGAGUGGGUUCCUGAUAAAAGGAUGAGUUUGGCCCUGUUUUCUCUCUCUUUCGCUUCCACCAG